rnacentral:rRNA from 1 species
AUGGCCGUUGAUUCCGACAGAGGGGAGGGGGAUUUGGAGAUUGGGUUGGCGUCGCCGGGGUCGGAGGGAGGAGGGGUCUCGCCCGUCGCCCCAGGCCGCCGGGCGCUCGAGUCCUGCCUCUCCGGGAAGCGCCUCGACCAGUCGCCGUCGCCGUCGCGGGCGGUCAGGCGCCCCGCGCUAGUCAUGUCCAGCUCCGGGAAGCGCCUCGACCAGUCGCCCUCGCCCUCGCGCCCGGCGCUGGUCAUGUCCCGCUCCAGCAACCGCCUCGACCAGCCGCCCGGCCGCCCGGUGCUGGCCAUGUCCCGCUCCAGCAACCGCCUCGACCACUCGCCGGCGUCGUCCUCGUCCCCGACGCCCGCGAAGGGCCCGGCGCUCGUCAUGUCCGGCUCCAGCAAGCGGCUGGAGCAGUCGCUCGCGUCCCCGUCCCCGUCGCCCAAGGCCGGGGCCGCGGCGCCGCCCGUGCUGGUGCUCUCCAACUCCGGAAAGCGGAUGGACCAGGCGGGCCGGAAGAAGUACGUCAAGCAGGUCACGGGCCGGCACAACGACACGGAGCUCCACCUCGCCGCGCAGCGCGGGGACCUCGACGCCGUGCGCCAGAUCAUCGUCGAAAUCGACGCGCAGAUGACCGGGACUGGCGAGGAGUUCGACAGCGAGGUGGCGGAGAUCCGCGCCGCCGUGCUCAACGAGCCCAACGAGGUCGGGGAGACCGCGCUGCUCAUCGCAGCUGAGAAAGGGUUCAUCGACGUCGUCCUCGAGCUGCUCAAUCACUCUGACAAGGAGAGCCUUGCGAGGAAGAACAAAUCAGGAUUCGAUGCUCUGCAUGUCGCUGCAAAGGAAGGCCACCGAGAUAUUGUGAAGGUACUCCUGGACCAUGAUCCAUCCCUUGGGAAGACGUUUGGCCAAUCAAAUGUGACUCCUCUGAUAACUGCGGCGAUUAGAGGCCACCUCGAGGUAGUGAACCUUUUGCUGGAGCGAGUUUCUGGGUUGGUUGAACUAUCAAAGGCAAACGGAAAGAAUGCAUUGCAUUUCGCUGCCCGUCAGGGGCAUGUUGAAAUAGUUAAGUCUUUGCUAGUCAGUGAAGCUCAGCUUGCUCGGAAGACUGAUAAGAAAGGACAGACCGCUUUGCAUAUGGCGGUUAAAGGAACAAGCGCUGCAGUUGUUAGAGCACUCGUGAAUGCUGAUCCGGCCAUAGUUAUGCUACCUGACAAAAAUGGCAACUUAGCUUUGCAUGUUGCCACCAGGAAGAAAAGAUCAGAGGUAUUCUUCUGCCAUGUUAAAUCUUGUGCGCAAAACGCAAUAAUUUUCUUCUCGUGUCUCACAAACUGGUGUCUGUUGCAGAUUGUGAAUGAGCUUCUGCUUCUUCCGGACAUGAACGUGAAUGCACUGACUAGGGAUCGCAAGACUGCAUUCGACAUAGCAGAGGGUCUUCCAUUAUCAGAGGAGUCUGCGGAUAUAAAGGAUUGUUUAUCCCGUGCUGGUGCAGUGAGAGCAAAUGAUCUGAACCAGCCUCGGGAUGAGCUGAGAAAAACAGUGACUGAGAUCAAGAAGGACGUACACACUCAACUUGAGCAAGCCAGAAAAACCAACAAAAAUGUGCAUGGCAUAGCAAAGGAGCUGAGGAAGCUCCACAGGGAGGGCAUCAACAAUGCAACAAACUCUGUCACAGUUGUGGCUGUGCUCUUCGCCACAGUUGCAUUUGCUGCGAUAUUCACGGUGCCAGGCGGCAACGACGACCAUGGUGUAGCAAUUGUUGUGCAUGCGGUAUCCUUCAAGGUGUUCUUCAUCUUCAAUGCCAUCGCCUUGUUCACAUCAUUAGCAGUAGUGGUGGUCCAGAUAACACUUGUUAGGGGCGAGACCAAAGCAGAGAGGCGAGUUGUGGAGGUGAUCAACAAGUUGAUGUGGCUGGCUUCUGUAUGCACCACGGUGGCAUUCAUAUCCUCCUCUUACAUAGUGGUGGGUCGGCACUUCAAGUGGGCGGCGCUGCUGGUGACCCUCAUCGGCGGGGUGAUCAUGGCCAGUGUGCUCGGCACGAUGACAUACUAUGUGGUGAAGUCCAAGCGCACGCGGUCGAUUAGGAAGAAGGUGAAGUCAACAAGGCGGAGCGGCUCAAACUCAUGGAACCACAACUCGGAGUCAGAUUCCGAGAUAGACCGGAUAUACGCCAUAUGA